GGGGUUUGUAGCUCAGUGGAUUAGAGCUCGUGGUUCCGGACUACGGUGUCAAGGGUUCGAAUCCCUUCUAACCCGGUUAUCU
rnacentral:tRNA from 1 species